UCCGAACCUCCUGGACUCCAUGUAGAUCCGCCAGUGUCUCUAUAGUUGUAAUUUGCUCCAAAAAACUAUACCUUAAUUUAACUUUGCUCUUGCUGCAAUGAGACAUUAAAUUAGUUUACACCUGAUAUAGUGCUUACAACAGGCAAAUGCUGAAGCUCUCUUUAAAUGUCUAUGGGACAUCAAGAUCAAGAUGGUGUUCCAGAUAAUUGAGAAAACAACUUGUUCGUGCGGUUAGAGGUAUUCAAAGCUAGCUUUUACUGGCAUUCUCCUAUUACUGUGUGACAUAAUAAAUGUGUACAAAAUUUUGUGAAUCAUGAUCGGAAAGAAAUGCAGUUUUACAAUCAAGGGCAAAGAAGUAAUUUUCAUCCGAACAAAAACAGACACAGCUCAAUCUUCUCGGUUGUCUCCACUCAGAUCUGAUGAGUAAAAUUUCAGGUAAUAUUUUCUGUAAAAUUUGCCCUAAUCUUCAUCCAGAUUCUUCAUGGAUUGAUGCUUUCUUCUACCUUUUUUAAUCUAUUUCUUUUGUCAAAUAUUUUAUUUUUCUUCACACUUUUGAUCUCAUCAUCUCAUCAGGUUGUUUCGAUUGCAGGUUUAUUUUCUAGCAAAUUUCUACUAAUUAUUUACUUACUGACGAAUUAUUUAUGAUCUAAAAGUUAUGAUUGCUAUCGAAAAUUAUAUUUUUUGUCCAAGAUCCUCUCCAAGUAUGUAACUUUUGAGGUAUUUUUUGAGUGCUGUUAAAAGCUUAUAGGCCCCCCGUCUUAUAUUGUCCACACUCUCCAGGGGUGUUGGAGUUUCACAUCGGUGAGUUAAAGGGUCCUUGCUCUCCUUGUAUGGUCUUGGAUAAUUCUCCCCUCAUGAGCUAGCUUUUGAGGUUGAGUUAGGUCCAAGAUUCAUUCUUUACAGGACCUAAUGGUAUGUUGAAAUUGUAUAGAGAUUCCAGUUUUGAUUUAUGUUACUGAUUGUGUAUUUUAUUUGUUUCUAUUGGUUGUGUGUGAUCAGUGUGAAAUUGAAAAUUUUAGGUCGAAUGGUGUUUUUUUUAACUGCAUAAAGAUUCCAAUUUUUGCCUACUACUUGGUGGGGUUUGGGCAUGUGAAUAGGAGAUGUGUAGGUGUCCCAAAGUGGAGGUUUUAAAGGUCGAAGAAGUAUUGGGGAGAGGUAGAGGUAAGCCUAAGAAGUGUUGGGAGAUAUGAUAAGACAAAGAGCAUUUGAGUAUCUUUCUCCAUUCAUGUUCCCAACACAUGAUGUUCCUUUGCCAUCCCAUCUAACAUAACACAGCCCACCACACCUUACUAGAGAAGUCGCAGAUGAACAGUAAGUGUUGCAAGGUUUCAGGAUGUUCCCCACAUAAUACUCAAGUGCCACUGAUAGACAUGCCCCAUUGGAGCAAGAUAGUCUUAGUUCUCAGCUUCCCAAGUAGACUAAGCCACAAUGUGAAAGUAUGUUUUGGACAUGUUACAUUGCAACAUGUCAUUCCUUUCCAAGACUUGUGGAUGUAGUACUGGACGGUUUGACCAAUGGCAUUUCCUAUUCCUGCUUGUCAUACCAAGAGAAUGGGCCCACUGGGACAACAAUGCUUGCAAGUUUUGUCUGGUAUAGUGUCUGUAAGAUGUAUCUUUUCGGUGUUUCAACUGCCCUAAGUAUGAUUGUUGGUUCUUCUCCAGAAUUUGCACUCUACAGACACUUGAGCUUUUUAUAUUUUCCAUUAAUUAUCAUCAAACAAUUUAACCAAAAAAAUUGCAUUAUCGCAGUUUCGAGUUAUGGAAACAAACUCUUUCUGAAAUAAAGGGUAAGGUUCAUACAAUAGACCCUUGUGAUCCGUCUCUUUAUAAGAUCCUGCACAUAGCUGGAGUUUAGUGACCGAUUUGUCCAACGACAUUAUCAAAAUGGAUACCCUAAGGAAUUGGUUUCUGUAAUUCAUAAAGUAAUUGUAACAUUCGAUAAUGGAAGCAGAAGUUCCGAUAAGGAGCUACAGAAAAAUCCAGAAAUACCGCUCCUGGAAUUUGAACCUGUUUUUCUCUUAUACUAAGGGGGUUCAGAAAUCUUAUACAUGUAUGAAAAGUUUUUUCUAACUCGAUUUACACUGUCCUUUCCGGUGAAGGAGACUCAAUACCCCUUCAUUGCAUGUGGCUCCUGCACUGGUAGCAUUGCCAACUUUUUAAAUUUUAAUAGUGAUGAUAAUAUUUAAAAUUCAAACUCUUUUCUUAAUUUACAUUCAUGAAAUAUCAAUGUCACCUGUAAGUUCUUCUCUUUCAAUACUUUCACUUCCCCAUCUCUUCUUUUCUCAAAUUCUCCAUGUAAUCACGCCCAAUUGCAUUAUCGGCAAGGAUGAAACUUAGCACUGUGUAUUUUCGUUAUUAAUUAAUGUUGAUUUAUUUUUGUAAAGGUGAUAGAAAACUUCUCAUGUGUAGCUGUCGUUGAACUUGCAAAGGCCGAGUCUAAGCUCAGCAUUAUAGCUUCGCAUCAUAAGCAAUUGACGGAUGCAUAUUACAAGCUUUGACAUUAAAUAUCGUUGAACCAGUUAAGGCAGAUAUUGAAUGUUGCAGUGUUGUAUUUUGACAUGAAGUGAUGUGCAGAAACGCAAGUUAUGAUAUGCAAGCAGUCACGAAAUACGACGAUCCAAGAGUCAUGUAUCAUUCUUGCUAUGUUUUGCUUAUAAACAAAUAUUCUUUUGACGUAUAUUUUUAAUUUUCUAUUUUUAUUUUCCUCUGACUUUAAUUUGUGUGUUGCCAAUUUUAAGUGUCAUUUGAAACUUAUGAAACAACAUUUACUGCAAGAAUGAAUUAUACUACUUAUGAUCUCAA